rnacentral:rRNA from 1 species
GACGAACGCUGGCGGCGUGCUUAACACAUGCAAGUCGAGCGGUAAGGCCCUUUCGGGGGUACGACGAGCGGCGAACGGGUGAGUAACACGUGGGUGACCUGCCCUCAGCUCUGGGAUAAGCCUGGGAAACUGGGUCUAAUACUGGAUAUGACUCCACGGUGCAUGUCGUGGGGUGGAAAGCCUUGUGCGGCUGAGGAUGGGCCCGCGGCCUAUCAGCUUGCUGGUGGGGG